rnacentral:lncRNA from 1 species
GGCGCUUUUUCUGCGGUCCUGUCACCGUCAGAAAGCGGCUGCAGCCCGGCGGAGAGCACGGGAGGACAGACCAAAGUUUCCUCGGGGGGUCUGCACGACGUUGCACGCCCUGCCUCGAAACCUACCGGCUCUAAGGCUUCUCCCGAGGGAGACCUAGAAGGAAAAAAACCUGGGGGACGAGCAACUUCUCCGCAGAGCCGGCAGGGAGAGCGCACCUGUAAGGGGAGCCUACGGCAGAAAGCACGCUGGAAGCUCCCGUCAAGAGCCGGCCGGGAGGGACCGCGGCGCUGGAGAAGAGCCCCCCCGGCCCCACUCCCUCGUUACCUGCCCCCGCCGCCGCUCCUCGGGCGGGCCCCCAGCGCCGUCCCAGCCGGGGCCGGGUCGCACGAAGGCGCAGAGCCGAGAGAUAAAAAAAAUGCGGGUCCCACCCGCCUUAUAAACCGGCUGGCUGCGGGCAGAAAGCCCCGCGGGCACGGCGCAGGGCGGAGCGAGCUCCCUGCCGCGGAGCUGCCGGCCCUGCCCAGCCCGGCCCGGCUUGGCCCGGCCCGGCCCGGCCCGGCCCGGCCCGGCCCGGCCCGGUCUCCUCAUGGCGAUGGCUUCCCUCCCUCCCUCCAUCCCUCUCUCCUCAGCCCCACACCCUCUGCCAAGCGGCCUGCCCCACGGCACAGGGCACCUCGCCAUGCCCGGGACCCCCCGACCCCACCACAGCGCAGGCUGGUGAAGAACAUGGCCGCCAUUCCUGGUGGUGGAGAGAGCGGCGGGAUGCGUUCAGCUGUGGUUACCCAUCUCUUCACGUGCAAAGAGAAGAAACAACCCGCCACAGACCCUUCGCCGGCUUGCCGUUUACUACUGCCCAGGGACGUGAAUUGGUUGGUGUUUAAUUUGACAGGCAGAUACACAGUAAAACUGAAGAAACACACUUCAUCUUACGGUAGCCUGAUCAACAAGCUGCUGGAAAGCCAGAGCUGGAAUGCAGACCUCGAGCCCAGGAUCUUUGUUUCGGGAAGGCGGCUUCAGAGCUUCAGUCCAGGCUGUGCAGCCAGGAGUCUGGGCACAACAGUGAGACCUGGCUGGGUUUCUGAGCACCACCUCUACAGCAGGGGGCUUCCCAGGGUCACUUGGGACCCUAGGGUUGGGGGAAGGUGGCUGCUUCAUCGUGUUUCGGUGUGGAGGGGAGAAUAGAAAUAUCUUCAUCUGAAACAAAAAAUGUUGUGGAUUUUUAUUUCUAUGGGAAACUGUAAACACUUUAAUUGUGGUGUCUAUUUGGAGAGCUCAUUAAAACCAUCUUGCACUGACCAACCUUAGCCUACACCAAAAAAAAAUCAAUUAAAAUGAAGAAAGGCCUAUACAUGUUUACUGUAUAUAAUUAUUUCUAUAUUGAUGCAUUACUGUGUAAAUCAUUGAACAGUACCAUAUAAGUCAUUCUACUAUUUCAUAAUAUAUUGAUACUUUUUUUUUUUUUUUUCACUAAACUGUGAAUAAAUGAAAAAAUAGAAAGAAAGAGUACCUUACU